rnacentral:rRNA from 1 species
GAUGAACGCUGGCGGCGUGCCUAAUACAUGCAAGUCGAGCGAACAGACGAGGAGCUUGCUCCUCUGACGUUAGCGGCGGACGGGUGAGUAACACGUGGAUAACCUACCUAUAAGACUGGGAUAACUUCGGGAAACCGGAGCUAAUACCGGAUAAUCUAUUGAACCGCAUUGUUCAAUAGUGAGAUACGGUUUUGCUGUCACUUCUCGAUGGAUCCGCGCCGCAUUAGCUAGUUGGUAAGGUAACGGCUUACCAAGGCAACGAUGCGUAGCCGACCUGAGAGGGUGAUCGGCCACACUGGAACUGAGACGCGGUCCAGACUCCUACGGGAGGCAGCAGUAGGGAAUCUUCCGCAAUGGGCGAAAGCCUGACGGAGCAACGCCGCGUGAGUGAUGAAGGUCUUCGGAUCGUAAAACUCUGUUAUUAGGGAAGAACAAAUGUGUAAGUAACUAUGCCCGUCUUGACGGUACCUAAUAAGAAAGCCACGGCUAACUACGUG